UUGAGCCGUGUGCGCUGAAAGGCGCACGCACGGUUCUUAGAGGGCUGGAAACAGGUAACUGUCUCUGGCUACUCUGC
rnacentral:ncRNA from 1 species